rnacentral:rRNA from 1 species
AUUGAACGCUGGCGGCAGGCCUAACACAUGCAAGUCGAGCGGUAGCACAGAGGGCUUGCUCUCGGGUGACGAGCGGCGGACGGGUGAGUAAUGUCUGGGAAACUGCCUGAUGGAGGGGGAUAACUACUGGAAACGGUAGCUAAUACCGCAUAACGUCGCAAGACCAAAGUGGGGGACCUUCGGGCCUCAUGCCGUCAGAUGUGCCCAGAUGGGAUUAGCUAGUAGGUGGGGUAACGGCUCACCUAGGCGACGAUCCCUAGCUGGUCUGAGAGGAUGAACAGCCACACUGGAACGGAGAAACGGUCCAGACGCCUACAGGAGGCAGCAGUGGGGAAUAUUGCACAAUGGGCGCAAGCCUGAUGCAGCCAUGCCGCGUGUGUGAAGAAGGCCUUCGGGUUGUAAAGCACUUUCAGCGGGGAGGAAGGCGGUGAGGUUAAUAACCUCAUCGAUUGACGUUACCCGCAGAAGAAGCACCGGCUAACUCCGUGCCAGCCGCCGCCGUAAGAC